GGGGAUUUAGCUCAGCGGCAUAAGCACCUGCCUUGCAAGCAGGAGAUUAUGAGUUCAAUCCCUG
rnacentral:tRNA from 1 species